rnacentral:rRNA from 1 species
CGGACGGGUGAGUAAUGUCUGGGAAACUGCCUGAUGGAGGGGGAUAACUACUGGAAACGGUAGCUAAUACCGCAUAACGUCGCAAGACCAAAGAGGGGGACCUUAGGGCCUCUUGCCAUCGGAUGUGCCCAGAUGGGAUUAGCUAGUAGGUGGGGUAACGGCUCACCUAGGCGACGAUCCCUAGCUGGUCUGAGAGGAUGACCAACCACACUGGAACUGAGACACGGUCCAG